rnacentral:rRNA from 1 species
AUUGAACGCUGGCGGCAUGCUUUACACAUGCAAGUCGAGCGGCAGCGCGGGGGCAACCCUGGCGGCGAGCGGCGAACGGGUGAGUAAUGCAUCGGAACGUACCCUGGAGUGGGGGAUAACGCCGCGAAAGCGGCGCUAAUACCGCAUAUGCUCUGAGGAGGAAAGCGGGGGCUCGCAAGACCUCGCGCUCUGGGAGCGGCCGAUGUCCGAUUAGCUAGUUGGUGGGGUAAAGGCUUACCAAGGCGACGAUCGGUAGCUGGUCUGAGAGGAUGAUCAGCCACACUGGGACUGAGACACGGCCCAGACUCCUACGGGAGGCAGCAGUGGGGAAUUUUGGACAAUGGGGGCAACCCUGAUCCAGCCAUGCCGCGUGAGUGAAGAAGGCCUCGG